GUUGGCGGCCAUGUUGGUGAGGGAGCCACAAAGACUGCGUCAAUACGCACAUAGGAUACGUCCGUAAACUUUUACAUUUGAUGCAAUUUAUUCUUUGUCAAAGAGUAAAGUUUAAACUUUAAAGACGUCUAGAGGUACUAGAUUGUCUCUGAUAGAACUUCAAGGCUUUCUGCUGGUAGUGCCAGCUCUCCCUCACUAAGUAGUGAAUGCAGGCGAGCAGCGGUGGCGUUUUGCCUCCGACAGGUUUUCCAGUAUCUCAGCAUGGCAAAUACGCGCUCCCUGUGGGUAGUGUGGUCCUCCUCAAUCUGCUCCAGCUUUACAGAGGGGAUGUCCAGAGACAUUCUGCCAAUUUCUCGCCAGGAUUUGCCAACAGAUCGGGCGACAAUCAUCAGCUGCUUCUCUGUUACUAAAGGACAACCUGCGCAGGACACAAGCAGAUAAAGGAAGUGAGAUAAAUGAUAAAAACACAUUUAAAAUGAAUUAUCUUUGAGUGCAGUGCAACUGACCUUUGGUUUGUUUUAUUGGAACUGGCUCUUGUAAAUCUGGAGUGUGAUGUCUCUUUCCUGCUCCUUGUUUGUUUGUUUCACCUGAAAGUGGUGCGUUCACUUGAAAAUCCUUAAUAAAAUGAAGCCUUGGGAAGGUU